rnacentral:lncRNA from 1 species
CGGCCGUGUUACCUAGGUGAUAGCGGAGCGGCUGGGUAGGAAGCAAUUGUUCUCAAACUUCACUAGCCCCGUCGGCGCGGACGCUUGUCGAGAAUGCAGAUUCCUGGGUACUGCCAGAUACGGUUGGUGAUCUUGUAGGGCUGGAGUGGAAGCCAUGAAUCUGCAUUUUCAUCAUUUCUGGCCCUCUGCCCGGACUGAGAAUUGAGCAUACCACAAAAAAGUUCUCAUUUUGUGUCCUCCCAUCCCAUUCUCCUCACUAACCAAAGGCUAGGAAUUAUCUGUGAAUGUAGGACCACUGGAUUUGCAGUCUUCAUCUGACACUGUGGAGAGUUUCUAGGAAUGAAACAGAUAUAUGGCCUUGGGUCCCCUUUUUUUUUCUUCUUUUUUUUUUAAUAGAGACGAGCAUCUCACUAUGUUGCCUAGGGUAGUCUUGAACUCCUGGCCUCAAGCAAUCCCCACCCGACCCCGCCUCUCGAAGUGAUGGGAUUACAGGCAUAAACCACCACGCCUGGCCAGAAGGUGCUUUAACACCAAAUCUGAAAAUUGUUCAGAAGAGAAAUGUUGAGCAUGAACACCAUCUGUGCGAGUCAUUUACUUAUUGCCCCUCACCUCUAAAUCUACCUUCUGUACUCUUCUUCCCUGUAAUGAUGGGGCUAGUUGUCCUCAAACUGUUUCUCAGACUUCUUUGUAAGCUUGCUUCCUGUUCAGUUCUGCCAAUAGGGGUCACUAGAGAGAGACUGGGAGGCAGAAGGAGAGAAUAUGCUUCCUGUUUUUUCUGUUCUUGUUAAUGUUGCUUACAGGACCAGCAAUGCUUCUUCACCUAGAGGCACUUCUCCCAGCAGUGGCAGUGCCACUUCAGCUUCUUUCAGCACUACUGGAAUCAGCCUCAGUGAUUCCCCCUGUACCCACUCAGGGAUUAUCAACAGCAGCCAGAUGGUUCUACCUUCCACAAAGAUUGUGGUUGCAAUUCUGGGCUUCUAAGUUCUGGUUACUUCAUAUUUUUCCUUUUGUUCCUCCAGCCCUAGAGGUGGUAGCUGCUUUCUGAAGUUAUUAUUUCUAGAUGACUUUUGGUUUUUCAGCCUUUGUAUUUUGCUUUUCAGCCCUCUAAUGCCUGUAUAACCAAUUUCCCUGUAAUAAAUAAAUUUCCUCCAUUG